CGCGUAUUUCGCAGCGGAGCUCGACCCGACCCGGCGACGGUCAUGAGGUUCAUCGACGAACACCGUGACCAGUUCGCGGUCGCGCUCCUGCUACGGGUCCUGAGCAUCACCGCC
rfam:Micromonospora cremea strain DSM 45599 genome assembly, contig: Ga0074693_11